CGCAAGGUAUUUGAGAGGAACUGUCCCUAGUACGAGAGGACCGGGAUGGACGGACCGCUAGUGAACCAGUUAUUCCGCCAGGAGUAAAAGCUGGGUAGCCAUGUUCGGAUCGGAUAACCGCUGAAGGCAUCUAAGCGGGAAGCCGGCCUCAAGAUGAGAUACCUCAUUGCAUAAGCAAGUAAGGUGUCCGGCAGACGACCGGUUAGAUAGGUUGGGAGUGUAAGAGGGUAACGCCCUUUGAGCUGACCAAUACUAAUACACCGA
rnacentral:ncRNA from 1 species